AGAGGGGGCAAGCGUUGUUCGGAAUUACUGGGCGUAAAGGGCGCGUAGGCGGCCGCCUAAGUCAGACGUGAAAUCCCUCGGCUCAACCGGGGAACUGCGUCUGAUACUGGGUGGCUUGAAUCCGGGAGAGGGAUGCGGAAUUCCAGGUGUAGCGGUGAAAUGCGUAGAUAUCUGGAGGAACACCGGUGGCGAAGGCGGCAUCCUGGACCGGCAUUGACGCUGAGGCGCGAAAGCCAGGGGAGCAAACGGGAUUAGAUACCCCGGUAGUCCUGGCCCUAAACGAUGAGUGCUUGGUGUGGCGGGUAUCGAUCCCUGCCGUGCCGAAGCUAACGCAUUAAGCACUCCGCCUGGGGAGUACGGUCGCAAGGCGG
rnacentral:rRNA from 1 species